rnacentral:misc_RNA from 1 species
GAAAUGCGAUAAUUAAUGUGAAUUGCAGAAUUCAGUGAAUCAUCUAAUCUUUGAACGCACCUUGCGCUCCUUGGUAUUCCUUGGAGCAUGCCUGUUUGAGUAUCAUGAAAUCUUCAAAGUAAAUCUUUUGUUAACUCAAUUGGUUUCUACUUUGGUAUUGGAGGUCUUUGCAGCUUCACACCUGCUCCUCUUUGUUCAUUAGCUGGAUCUCAGUGUUAUGCUUGGUUCCACUCGGCGUGAUAAGUUAUCUAUCGCUGAGGACACUGUAAAAGGUGGCCAAGGUAAAUGCAGAUGAACCGCUUCUAAUAGUCCAUUGACUUGGACAAUACUUUUAUGAUCUGAUCUCAAAUCAGUUAGGACUACCCGCUGAACUUAAGC